rnacentral:rRNA from 1 species
CAGCCGUAAACUAUGCGCGUUAGGUGUACUGGUGACCACGAGUCACCGGGGUGCCGAAGGGAAACCGUGAAACGUGCCGCCUGGGAAGUACGGUCGCAAGGCUGAAACUUAAAGGAAUUGGCGGGGGGAGUACCACAACGGGUGGAGCCUGCGGUUUAAUUGGACUCAACGCCGGAAAUCUCACCGGAUAGGACAGACAUAUGAUAGUCGGGCUGAAGACUCUACUUGAUGAUCUGAGAGGAGUGCAUGGCGUCAGUGACU